rnacentral:piRNA from 1 species
UUUGAAAUGGAAGGUCAAAGAUCACAGUU